rnacentral:rRNA from 1 species
GACGAACGCUGGCGGCGUGCUUAACACAUGCAAGUCGAGCGGUAAGGCCCUUUCGGGGGUACACGAGCGGCGAACGGGUGAGUAACACGUGGGUGACCUGCCCUCAGCUCUGGGAUAAGCCUGGGAAACCGGGUCUAAUACUGGAUAUGACUCCAUGACGCAUGUUGUGGGGUGAAAGCCUUGUGCGGCUGAGGAUGGGCCCGCGGCCUAUCAGCUUGUUGGUGGGGUGAUGGCCUACCAAGGCGACGACGGGUAGCCGGCCUGAGAGGGCGACCGGCCACACUGGGACUGAGACACGGCCCAGACUCCUACGGGAGGCAGCAGUGGGGAAUCUUGCGCAAGUGGGCGAAAGCCUGACGCAGCGACGCCGCGUGAGGGAU